rnacentral:rRNA from 1 species
AAUGAACGCUGGCGGCAUGCCUAACACAUGCAAGUCGAACGAAGCCUUCGGGUUUAGUGGCGCACGGGUGCGUAACGCGUGGGAAUCUGCCCUUGGGUUCGGAAUAACUCAGAGAAAUUUGAGCUAAUACCGGAUGAUGACGUAAGUCCAAAGAUUUAUCGCCCACGGGAUGGAGCCCGCGUACGGAUUAGCUAGUUGGU